rnacentral:ncRNA from 1 species
UUUGUAGUACACUGAUUAAAAGGGAAUCGAGUGAAAAUCCCGAACAGACCCGCUACUGUGAAUCCUAUGCAACAUUUUGACAUAACCUACAAUAGUCACUGCAUUUUAUGAUGUGGGAAGGCUGCUCAAAAUGAGGAUAAGUCAGGAGACCUGCCCGUGCCUU